UUAUAUGUUUUAGUUUACCAUUUGGAAAUACCCAAAAUUUAAAAAUUAAGAUUAUGCCGGCUCAACGAAAACUUUUUCUUUCUAUUAAAUUUGAAGUUUAUCAGGAUAAAAACCUGGAAAUUUAUAAUACUUGUAAAAAACAACUCGAUAAAUAUCCUUGCUCACUUGUCAAGAGUGAAAUAAGUGUGAACAGUGUUGAGCAGAGUUUCGAGGGGUUUCUAGAAAGCGAAUUUCCAGUUAUACGGGAAUUUGAAAGAUUUUUGGUUCAUGAAACGGUGAAAAGGAAUGAUGCUCAAUUACUUAUAUCAGAUCUCACGAAUGUUAGAAAUGGUUAUAAAUCAAAGCCCGAAACAAAAAUAGUAGUCAGAAAUAUCACGAAAAUUGAUGAGAAUGAUUGUGAAUGAAAACCCGAAGCAAAUAUUGAUCGAAAUAGCAUUAGGUAUGAAUCCGAGAACCAAACAUAAAUCGAUAAAAUACUUCUGAGUACCUCGCUAUAUGCUAAAAUGUUUUCAUUUAUAAGAGAUGUCACGCAAAUUGAUGAAAUUGACUGUGAAUCAAAGCUCGGAACAGAAAUAAGUCAGUAAACAUCUUAUCCUGUUUCGUGGAUAAGUAUUGAAAUAUUUGUAGUCACAUUAUAUCUCCAAAAACUAAUGGAUGUGUAUGUGAAUCAAGUGAAGCAAAUAUUGGAAACAAUGGUUCGGAUAAAGGAGUCAAUGAUGUGUAUCUCAAUGACCUCUUGAUCAUAAAAUUGUAGGUGUGUGAUUCUCACAAAAAAUUUUAAGUGAUACAAUUUGAUGAACUUCUGUAUUUCAUAUCAGUAUUAAAUUAUAGUUGGUUGAUUGCAUGAA